rnacentral:rRNA from 1 species
AUUGAACGCUGGCGGCAGGCCUAACACAUGCAAGUCGAGCGGCAGCGGGAAAGUAGCUUGCUACUUUUGCCGGCGAGCGGCGGACGGGUGAGUAAUGCCUGGGAAAUUGCCCAGUCGAGGGGGAUAACAGUUGGAAACGACUGCUAAUACCGCAUACGCCCUACGGGGGAAAGCAGGGGACCUUCGGGCCUUGCGCGAUUGGAUCUGCCCAGGUGGGAUUAGCUAGUUGGUGAGGUAAUGGCUCACCAAGGCGACGAUCCCUAGCUGGUCUGAGAGGAUGAUCAGCCACACUGGAACUGAGACACGGUCCAGACUCCUACGGGAGGCAGCAGUGGGGAAUAUUGCACAAUGGGGGAAACCCUGAUGCAGCCAUGCCGCGUGUGUGAAGAAGGCCUUCGGGUUGUAAAGCACUUACAGCGAGGAGGAAAGGUUGAUGCCUAAUACGUAUCAACUGUGACGUUACUCGCAGAAGAAGCACCGGCUAACUCCGUGCCAGCCGCCGCGGUAA